UGGGGAAUUUUGGACAAUGGGCGAAAGCCUGAUCCAGCCAUGCCGCGUGAGUGAAGAAGGCCUUCGGGUUGUAAAGCUCUUUUAGUCGGAAAGAAAGAGUUGCAAUGAAUAAUUGUGAUUUAUGACGGUACCGACAGAAAAAGCACCGGCUAACUACGUGCCAGCAGCCGCGGUAAUACGUAGGGUGCAAGCGUUAAUCGGAAUUACUGGGCGUAAAGCGUGCGCAGGCGGUUCGGAAAGAAAGAUGUGAAAUCCCAGAGCUUAACUUUGGAACUGCAUUUUUAACUACCGGGCUAGAGUGUGUCAGAGGGAGGUGGAAUUCCGCGUGUAGCAGUGAAAUGCGUAGAUAUGCGGAGGAACACCGAUGGCGAAGGCAGCCUCCUGGGAUAACACUGACGCUCAUGCACGAAAGCGUGGGGAGCAAACA
rnacentral:rRNA from 1 species